GAUGAACGCUGGCGGCGUGCCUAAUACAUGCAAGUAGAACGCUGAAGGAAGGAGCUUGCUCUUUCCGGAUGAGUUGCGGACGGGUGAGUAACGCGUAGGUAACCUGCCUGGUAGCGGGGGAUAACUAUUGGAAACGAUAGCUAAUACCGCAUAACAGUAGAUGUUGCAUGAUAUCUACUUAAAAGGUGCAAUUGCACCACUACCAGAUGGACCUGCGUUGUAUUAGCUAGUUGGUGAGGUAACGGCUCACCAAGGCGACGAUACAUAGCCGACCUGAGAGGGUGAUCGGCCACACUGGGACUGAGACACGGCCCAGACUCCUACGGGAGGCAGCAGUAGGGAAGCUUCGGCAAUGGACGGAAGUCUGACCGAGCAACGCCGCGUGAGUGAAGAAGGUUUUCGGAUCGUAAAGCUCUGUUGUAAGAGAAGAACGAGUGUGAGAGUGGAAAGUUCACACUGUGACGGUAGCUUACCAGAAAGGGACGGCUAACUACGUG
rnacentral:rRNA from 1 species